rnacentral:rRNA from 1 species
UACGUAGGUGGCAAGCGUUAUCCGGAAUUAUUGGGCGUAAAGCGCGCGCAGGUGGUUUCUUAAGUCUGAUGUGAAAGCCCACGGCUCAACCGUGGAGGGUCAUUGGAAACUGGGAGACUUGAGUGCAGAAGAGGAAAGUGGAAUUCCAUGUGUAGCGGUGAAAUGCGUAGAUAUCGGGAGGAACACCAGUGGCGAAGGCGACUACCUGGCCUGUUCUUGACGCUGAGGCGCGAAAGCUAGGGGAGCAAACGGG